UACGGAGGGUGCGAGCGUUGUCCGGAAUCACUGGGCGUAAAGGGCGCGUAGGCGGCGCGGGAAGUCCGUGGUGAAAGCCCGAGGCUCAACUUCGGGUCGGCCAUGGAUACUCCUGGGCUUGAGCACUGUAGAGGCAGAUGGAAUUCCGGGUGUAGCGGUGGAAUGCGUAGAGAUCCGGAAGAACACCGGUGGCGAAGGCGGUCUGCUGGGCAGUUGCUGACACUGAGGCGCGACAGCGUGGGGAGCAAACAGG
rnacentral:rRNA from 1 species